rnacentral:rRNA from 1 species
CAGCCGCCGCGGUAAAACGGAGGGGGCUAGCGUUGUUCGGAAUUACUGGGCGUAAAGCGCACGUAGGCGGCUUUGUAAGUUAGAGGUGAAAGCCCGGGGCUCAACUCCGGAAUUGCCUUUAAGACUGCAUCGCUUGAAUCGCGGAGAGGUGAGUGGAAUUCCGAGUGUAGAGGUGAAAUUCGUAGAUAUUCGGAAGAACACCAGUGGCGAAGGCGGCUCACUGGACGCGUAUUGACGCUGAGGUGCGAAAGCGUGGGGAGCAAACAGGAUUAGAUACCCCCGUAGUCCCUGUCUCUUAUAU